CCGAGUUUACAACUCCCAAACCCCUGUGAACAUACCACUUGUUGCCUCGGCGGAUCAGCCCGCUCCCGGUAAAACGGGACGGCCCGCCAGAGGACCCCUAAACUCUGUUUCUAUAUGUAACUUCUGAGUAAAACCUUAAAUAAAUCA
rnacentral:misc_RNA from 1 species